AAAUUGAUUUACAAAAUGCAGCGGCAGUCCCACUGGAAGGAAUUUCUCCGCAGCUCCCCGCGGACGGACAGCAGGUGGCGCUGCGCUUCCCCUUUUGUCUGCCUCGGCUGCUGGGGCCGGAACCCAACUUUGGCAGAGCUGAGCUAAAGAUUGCAAACAACAGAUUCGGAAUUGGCCUCAGCUGAGCUCCCAGCCAACAACUGGCAGUGAGCCUAUAAAUGAACUAUCUUGGAUGUUCCAGCCCAAUCAAGUCCCCUGAUGACAGCAGCCAUCCUGGCACCCCAGCGGACACCACGUGGAGUGGAACCACCCAGUCAACCCAGAAAAUGAUAUACUGAAAAUAUAACAAUAGAAGAUGCAUUGAUUCCCCCCGCUCAAAUUAUCUGGAGUCAUUGGCAGGGCCAAGGGACCAUUCGUUCAAUCAUGGUUGUUCUGGAAAAAUAGAAGAGCGGCCAGGAGAAGGCAGUUCCUGCUCACCAAACCCUGCUAGCUGAGGAGGCAGCUGAGGAAAACUUACAUUCUAGUGUUUUUAUGAUUCUUUUGGUCAGACUGGAUAUAGAUGCUCCUUAAAUGUUCCAGAUCUGAUCCAGGACUCAGCGUAAUCAUUCUCUCAGAUACUGUCAUCUUUAGGUCACCAUGGUGUAAACCUAAAUAUUUUUCAAAUCUCUACUUCAAUGUAUGCUCUAUAGAUAGUAGGUGUAAAUGUUCAUUAGUGCCGAUGAAGGAAUUGCUUUACUCUAACUACCUGUCAUCAAGUCAUCGUUGUUAAUCAUGCUCCUAUUUAGGGUGGGCUUUCUGCAGUGACUGGAGUAUCCGUGGGUUAGAAAGACAGGGAAAUCAAUGCUUCAUAAAUGUUAUUGAAAAUGUGUCUUUUCUGCUCCUCCUUGUUAUUCAGAAAAGGAUCAAAAUGUAUUCUAAUUUAAAUUAGCCACCUGGCUGUUAGAAGUGGCUUCUUACAGGGCUUGAUUUAAAUCUGUUAUCUAUUUUUCUUUCUUGAACAUUUGAAGUGGAAAUGCCAUAAGGGGAUACUCUUUAACUUGUAAAUAUGGAAUAAACAUGAACUCCAGAAAAUGUGUUUUGUGAGCUACCAUAUUCUCUCUUUCUUUGUGUUUCUUCAGUAAUUACUACCAAGGCUUACCUAGCGCCAUAGUUAAGCCACAUUAUGGAGAGCCCAGCUUUGGUUGGCUAACCUAAGAGUCCAAAAAAAUGAUAGUCCUGCUCUUGUGAGAAAGGUCAAACAGCUGUCUUUGUGACCACACUUGCUCGGAACUGGUGGCAGCCCUUGCCAGGUUCCAAGUGCCCCCUCGGUCAACCUGUCUAGCACACAGUUUCAUGCAGGGUAGUGCAGACCAGCACCCUCAGACAUUAGUGAGCUUCAGAGUAUCCCAGUGAGCCUGUUAAAAUGCAUUUGAGCCCCACUCGCCUAGACUGUAAUUCAUUGGAUCAGGGGUGUCAUACAGGAACCUACAUUUCAGCCAGCCACCCUGGCUGAUUUUUAAAAAAUCUCAUCUGAGAAUAUGUUUUAUUGAUUUUUUUUUUAGAGAGUGAGAGGAAGGGAGAGCAACAGAGGGAGAGGGAGGGGAGAGAGAAGGAGGAGAGAGGGAGAGAGAGAGAGAGAGAGAGAGAGAGAGAGAGAGAAGAAAGAAACAUCAAUUGGUUUCCUCCCAUAUGCACCCCAACUUGGGAUUGAACUCAUAACCUAGGUAUAUGAAUUGAACCAGCGACCUUUUGGUGACCGGGAUGACACUCCAACCAACUGAGCCACCCAGCCAGGGCCACCCUGAGUGAUUUUGAUGCCUGCGUUCUGGUAUAAAUAGCUGAAGGUGCCCAGCCAGCGUGUCUCAGUGACUGAGCAUCGAUCUAUGAACCAGGAGGUCACAGUUCGAUUCCUGGUCUGGGCACAUGCCUGGGUUGCAGGCUCGAUCCCCAGUGUGGGGUGUGCAGGAGGCAGCUGAUCAAUGACUCUCUCAUUAUUGAUGUUUCUAUCUCUCUCUCCCUCUUCAUUCCUCUCUGAAAUCAGAAAAAAUAUAUACAUUUAAAAAGAAAGCUGAAGGUAUUGCAGAGAAGGUGGGAACUGGUGCUUUGGAACAUAAUUAGGAUUUGGAGAGAGGGAAGGCAUUCAGGAGUCGGGGGCUCGCCUGAGUGGAAGAACAGAGAAGAGCACGAGUUGGAGGUAACAGAGCGUGGAGUUAGAAGUGUGGGUGCUGAGGUCUGAUAGGCCUGGCUCGGAAUUCCCUUGCUCCACCACUGACAGCCUUUCAGACUUAGACGAAUUAUUUCACAUCUGAUACUCAGUCUCCUCCUCUCUACAAUGGGAUAAUAAUGGCAUCUAUCUGCAAGGGUUGGUGUGAGGAUUGAAGGAGGAAAUGCAGUUAAUGUGCUCACCAUAUCUUAGGGUCUUAAUAAACAUUAGCAUUUAUCAUGCAUACGUAAGAGAAGUUGUAUUUAAAUUUUCCUUUUCUUCCAUUGUCACAGAAUUUAUAUUUUGAGAUUUUCUUCUUAUUCUUUUUGUUCUGGUAGUUGCUGAAUCACAUGGAGAAGUAGGAAGUAUCCAGAGUCUGAUGAGAAUCAUCAGAAUUCCUUUUUGUGUGUGUGUUUUAAAAGUUUAUAAUCAUUUAAGUUCUGACUGUAUCCAUCACACCAAUAAGUUCAAUAAAACAUUUUAAAAAAU